GGGCGAAUAGCUCAGUUGGGAGAGCGCUGGUGUCACAGACCAGAGGUCGCAGGUUCAACCCCUGUUUCGCCCA
rnacentral:tRNA from 1 species